AGCUCCAAUAGCGUAUAUUAAAGUUGUUGCAGUUAAAAAGCUCGUAGUUGGAUUUCUGGUUGGAGCGAUCGGUCCGGCACUCUGUGUGGGUACUUGAAUCGUCUCCGGCCAUCCUUGGGGAGAGCCUGUCUGGCAUUAGGUUGUCGGGCAGGGGAUACCCAUCGUUUACUGUGAAAAAAUUAGAGUGUUCAAAGCAGGCUUAUGCCGAUGAAUAUAUUAGCAUGGAAUAAUAUUAUAAGACCUUGGUACUAUUUUGUUGGUUUGCGCACUGAGGUAAUGAUUAACAGGGACAGUUGGGGGUAUUCGUAUUCAAUUGUCAGAGGUGAAAUUCUUGGAUUUAUGGAAGACGAACUACUGCGAAAGCAUUUACCAAGGAUGUUUUCAUUAAUCAAGAACGAAA
rnacentral:rRNA from 1 species